AACGAACGCUGGCGGCAUGCCUAACACAUGUAAGUCGAACGAGACCUUCGGGUCUAGUGGCGCACGGGUGCGUAACGCGUGGGAACCUGCCCUUAGGUUCGGAAUAACUCCCCGAAAGGGGUGCUAAUACCGGAUAAUGUCUUCGGACCAAAGAUUUAUCGCCUUUGGAUGGGCCCGCGUUGGAUUAGCUAGUUGGUAGGGUAAAAGCCUACCAAGGCGACGAUCCAUAGCUGGUCUGAGAGGAUGAUCAGCCACACUGGGACUGAGACACGGCCCAGACUCCUACGGGGGGCAGCAGUGGGGAAUAUUGGACAAUGGGCGAAAGCCUGAUCCAGCAAUGCCGCGUGAGUGAUGAAGGCCUUAGGGUUGUAAAGCUCUUUUACCCGGGAUGAUAAUGACAGUACCGGGAGAAUAAGCUCCGGCUAACUCCGUG
rnacentral:rRNA from 1 species